AAUUCUCAACCUUUCUGACUUUUUCAAAGUUAGUCUGGCUUGGAUCUUGGAAGUUGCUGGUUUUUACGAAUCAGCUCUUCUCAAAUAUAUUAGCAGUCCUUUGCUGACUGUCUUUGGUAUGAUAAUUAUCUAUAUCACUGACAGGCAGCUUCCCUCGUGGAGAGGUUCUGCUUCUAAUAGUCUUUUGAAGACAACUUGACAA
rnacentral:misc_RNA from 1 species